rnacentral:rRNA from 1 species
AGCGAACGCUGGCGGCAGGCCUAACACAUGCGAGUCGAACGAACUCUUCGGAGUUAGUGGCGGACGGGUGAGUAACACGUGGGAACGUGCCUUUAGGUUCGGAAUAACUCAGGGAAACUUGUGCUAAUACCGAAUGUGCCCUUCGGGGGAAAGAUUUAUCGCCUUUAGAGCGGCCCGCGUCUGAUUAGCUAGUUGGUGAGGUAAAGGCUCACCAAGGCGACGAUCAGUGGCUGGUCUGAGAGGAUGAUCAGCCACAUUGGGACUGAGACACGGCCCAAACUCCUACGGGAGGCAGCAGUGGGGAAUCUUGCGCAAUGGGCGAAAGCCUGACGCAGCCAUGCCGCGUGAAUGAUGAAGGUCUUAGGAUUGUAAAAUUCUUUCACCGGGGACGAUAAUGACGGUACCCGGAGAAGAGGCCCCGGCUAACUUCGUG